rnacentral:rRNA from 1 species
UACGUAGGGGGCGAGCGUUGUCCGAAGUUACUGGGCGUAAAGCGCGCGUAGGCGGGUUGGCAAGUCUGCUGUGAAAGCCCGGGGCUUAACUCCGGAGGGUCGGUGGAUACUGCCAGUCUUGAAGGUGCUAGGGAGAGAUGGAAUUACCGGUGUAGCGGUGAAAUGCGUAGAUAUCGGUAGGAACACCGGUGGCGAAGGCGGGUCUCUGGGCCGAUACUGACGCUGAGGAGCGAAAGCGUGGGGAGCGAACAGA